CCAAUAAUGUAAAAUGAACUUCUCCAAGCCGAGUUAAAAUCUUUUCACAAUCUUGUAUAUAAUCAACAACAUAUUUGCGACACCCCCUCUUAUCUAAAGUUUCAUCCUUGUCUCCUUCUCUGCAUCCUUUUAUAGGAACAUCAUCCAGAAAAGGCAUAGUCUUUUCAGGAAUAAAAUCUCUCAAUACCUUAUUCAUCCCAUUCAUCAUAUGCGCAACUGAGUUGGUCGCACCUUGAGAAAGAGUGCAUA
rnacentral:lncRNA from 1 species